rnacentral:rRNA from 1 species
UACAGAGGUCUCAAGCGUUGUUCGGAUUCAUUGGGCGUAAAGGGUGCGUAGGCGGCGCGGUAAGUCGGGUGUGAAAUCUCGGAGCUUAACUCCGGAACUGCAUUCGAUACUGCCGUGCUUGAGGACUGGAGAGGAGACUGGAAUUUACGGUGUAGCGGUGAAAUGCGUAGAUAUCGGAAGGAAGACCAGUGGCGAAGGCGAGUCUCUGGACAGUUACCGACGCUGAGGCACGAAGGUCAGGGGAGCAAACGGG